GACGAACGCUGGCGGCGUGCUUAACACAUGCAAGUCGAACGGAAAGGCCCUGCUUUUGUGGGGUGCUCGAGUGGCGAACGGGUGAGUAACACGUGAGUAACCUGCCCUUGACUUUGGGAUAACUUCAGGAAACUGGGGCUAAUACCGGAUAGGAGCUCCUGCUGCAUGGUGGGGGUUGGAAAGUUUCGGCGGUUGGGGAUGGACUCGCGGCUUAUCAGCUUGUUGGUGGGGUAGUGGCUUACCAAGGCUUUGACGGGUAGCCGGCCUGAGAGGGUGACCGGAAGCAGAGGGAGGGGAAUGAGGCCGAGAAGCGUGAGGGGGGCAGAGGGGGCGAAAGAAGAACGAGGGAGGCAGGAUGGAGGAAGAAACGGGGUGGGCGGGAUGACGGGCGGAGGGGUGUAAAACGUGGUCGGCGGGGACGAGGGGGGAGUGAGGGAGAUGGGUAAAGAAGAACCGGGAAACAACGGGCCAGAAGGGGCGGUAUUAGGAGAAAGAGAAAAGUAUGAAC
rnacentral:rRNA from 1 species